rnacentral:rRNA from 1 species
CAUGCAAGUCGACGGCAGCAUGGGGGCAACCCUGAUGGCGAGUGGCGAACGGGUGAGUAAUAUAUCGGAACGUACCCGAGAGUGGGGGACAACCAGUCGAAAGAUUGGCUAAUACCGCAUACGAUCUACGGAUGAAAGUGGGGGACCUUCGGGCCUCACGCUCCUGGAGCGGCCGAUAGCUGAUUAGCUAGUUGGUGGGGUAAAUGCCUACCAAGGCGAUGAUCAGUAGCUGGUCUGAGAGGACGAUCAGCCACACUGGGACUGAGACACGGCCCAGACUCCUACGGGAGGCAGCAGUGGGGAAUUUUGGACAAUGGGGGCAACCCUGAUCCAGCAAUGCCGCGUGAGUGAAGAAGGCCUUCGGGUUGUAAAGCUCUUUUGUCAGGGAAGAAAAGUUUCUGUGUUAAUACCCUGGUUUCAUGACGGUACCUGAAGAAUAAGCACCGGCUAACUACGUGCCAGCAGCCGCGGUAAUACGUAGGGUGCGAGCGUUAAUCGGAAUUACUGGGCGUAAAGCGUGCGCAGGCGGUUGUGUAAGACAGAUGUGAAAUGCCCGGGCUUAACCUGGGAAUUGCAUUUGUGACUGCACGGCUAGAGUGUGUCAGAGGGGGGGUAGAAUUCCACGUGUAGCAGUGAAAUGCGUAGAUAUGUGGAGGAAUACCGAUGGCGA